GUUAUACUCCCUCCGUUCCAAAUUACUCGUCGUGGUUUUAGUUCAAAUUUAAACUAAAACCACGACGAGUAAUUUCGUCGUGGUUUUAGUUCAAAUUUAAACUAAAACCACGACGAGUAAUUUGGAACAGAGGGAGUAUUAU
rfam:Triticum aestivum genome assembly, contig: Triticum_aestivum_CS42_TGACv1_scaffold_499950_6BL